rnacentral:sRNA from 1 species
CGUCAGUCAGCGAUAUUCGCCCACUGACGCAUUUUU